AAACUAACAAGGAUUCCCCUAGUAACGGCGAGUGAAGCGGGAAGAGCUCAACAUUGUAAUCUGGCUGCUUCGCAGUCCGAGUUGUAGUCUAUAGAAGCAUGAUCCGCGCCGGCCCUUGGGCAUGUCUGUUGGAACGCAGUGUCAAAGAGGGUGAAAAUCCCGUACAUACCAAGGACGACCGUGUGCAUUGUGGUCUGCUCUCUAAGAGUCGAGUUGUUUGGGAAUGCAGCUCUAAUUGGGUGGUAAAUUCCAUCUAAAGCUAAAUAUCGACGAGAGACCGAUAGCGAACAAGUACAGUAAUGGAAAGAUGAAAAGUAGCCUGCAGAGGCAAUGAAACAAUACGUGAAACCGUUUGUAGGGAAGCGAUGGAACCUUUUCACGCUGCGAGGGUUCAGCUUGGCUUCGGCUUAGUGUAUUCCCUCGUUUUGCGGACCAGCAUCAGUUUGCUUCGCAGUAUAAGGGUGAUCGGAACGUGGCUUCUCCGGAAGUGUUAUAGCCUUUCACUGGAUGCUGUGUCGCAGACUGAGGACUGCAGUGCGCCGUAAGGCAUGGUCUUCGGGCCACGAGCACUUAGGAUGC
rnacentral:rRNA from 1 species